ACCCUUCAAAGAUAACAGAUAUUAAGAGCAUGUUUGGUUCAUCUAUUUUAGAGUAUAGAAUCGAAAUGAGAUUCAUUGAUUCUAAUAGUUAUCCUUUGUUUUAAAAGAAUCGAAUCUCGACUUUCAUUUUACUCGUGGCCCAAUCCGGCUUUGAAUAUCUGAUUGGUUCAUUUCAAAAUAAAUUACUCAAAAUUCUCUUUCACUAACUCCUUCCAUCUUCUCCCAUUCUAGAUUUUCAUUUCGAUAUUUAUUUUAAUAAUAAACUAAAUAAUUUUGAAUGAUUAUUUUAUUUU
rnacentral:lncRNA from 1 species